rnacentral:rRNA from 1 species
AACGAACGCUGGCGGCAUGCCUAACACAUGCAAGUCGAACGAGACCUUCGGGUCUAGUGGCGCACGGGUGCGUAACGCGUGGGAACCUGCCCUUAGGUUCGGAAUAACUCCCCGAAAGGGGUGCUAAUACCGGAUAAUGUCUUCGGACCAAAGAUUUAUCGCCUUUGGAUGGGCCCGCGUUGGAUUAGCUAGUUGGUAGGGUAAAAGCCUACCAAGGCGACGAUCCAUAGCUGGUCUGAGAGGAUGAUCAGCCACACUGGGACUGAGACACGGCCCAGACUCCUACGGGAGGCAGCAGUGGGGAAUAUUGGACAAUGGGCGAAAGCCUGAUCCAGCAAGGCCGCGUGAGUGAUGAAGGCCGUAGGGUUGUAAAGCUCUUUUACCCGGGAUGAUAAUGACAGUACCGGGAGAAUAAGCACCGGCUAACUCCGUG